GGUGAUGCGUUCAGAAUAAGAUCAACUAACGUUGGGAUCGAUUGGUCAGGUCUGGGUGACGGAAAUGGAAGUCUACAGACUGGGAUAAGAGAUUGAAGUCCGAAUGUGGAACUUUGUUUUUGUCUGUGAGGAAAUGCUUUAAGGGGAAAUGUAUCUUCGGACCUUUCGUUUGCGUUACCUUUCAUGCGCCAACCAUUAAUGGAAUAGAGAACCAGCGUUAGUAGAUUCCUAUCAGAUCUAAUGACUGAUUUGAUCAGAUGAGCAGCCUCAGUCAGCGCAGUGAACAGACCGACAACAGCAACAGCCUCCAUUCCAGAGCUGCCUCUCCUCAGCCCAAGACUGCUGCACUACAGCAUGUAGACAGCAGUGCUUUCUCCUGGAGCUUUUGCAAAUGAAAAUGGAGGACGUGUCUCUGUCCAGUAUGGACAACAGUAAGAUGGAGGGCUUUGCUCAAGACAUCCUGUCUGAUCUGGUGGAGGAUGCGUGUUUGGGGCUUUGUUUCGAGGUUCACAGGGCUGUCAAACAGGGAUACUUUUUCCUGGAUGAUACAGACCAAGAGAGUAUGAAGGACUUUGAAAUCGUGGACCAGCCUGGAGUAGAUAUUUUCGGUCAAGUGUACAACCAGUGGAAAAACAAAGAGUGUGUGUGUCCCAACUGCAGCCGGAGCAUCGCUGCCUCACGGUUUGCUCCUCACCUAGAGAAAUGCCUUGGCAUGGGCCGCAACAGCAGUCGCAUUGCCAACCGAAGAAUUGCGAGUGGCAACAACACAAACAAAUCCGAGAGUGAUCAAGAGGACAAUGAUGAUGUCAAUGACAAUGACUGGUCUUAUGGGGCAGAAAAGAAAGCCAAGAAGAGAAAGUCAGAUAAGGUAUUUUUACAUUCUUUGAAACAGCCUGUGCCCUUGGUAAGUUUGUUUUUACUAUUACAGAUGUUCUGUUUGCUCUUAGAUGGCCCCACAGAUUUGUAGCCACAGGAUCUGGUGCAAAACUAGUUGUAGAAUUAGUUUAUUAAAGGAUGUAGAAUUUUUAUCCACAAUUCUUGUCAACAAGAAUGUUUUGUUCAAACAUUAGCUUUCUAAUAAGUGACUGUUGCAUAUUAUACAUGCCUUUUCCAUAACCAUGUCUCUUUGUUGGUUUAAUUUUCAUAUCCUGACUGCAGGCUAAUGUUUGUUGUCUCUUUUCUUUCUGCACAGAAUCCAAAUUCACCAAGAAGAUCAAAAUCCAUGAAACAUAAAAAUGACUGAACAGAAGAAACGAACCAGAGAGAAUUUCCACGUCAAAGAAGGCAGAGCCUCAGCGCACACCUACUCUUUAUGCAAUCAUCACGGACUAAUGGUAGUUCGAAGGUGAUUACCAGCUGGAGUAAACCUUUACAGAAAGUUUGCUUUGGCAAGCUGUUUCGAACACCCAAAGCAAACUCCAAAUGAAAA